rnacentral:lncRNA from 1 species
GUAUGUUUCAAAUAGUAUAGGAUGUCACUAUUGGUGAUUUGAUUAGCUUGAGUGUAAAUAAUUUGGACAUACAUAAUGAUUGUGCAUGUUUGUAGGUGCGAGCUGGGUUUCAAGCAAUUUCACUGAUGAUCUGGAAGCAUCAUACAAAGUUUCUUUUUUUUGCUACUAUUAGACUGAGGACAUUUGGUUCGUCAUGGGUUUCUCGCUCAACACUAGCAUUGGUGUGUCAAGUUUCAGCUUAGCUCCUAGUAGCAUGAAGAGGUGUUAAGCCGAUCCUUUUGAUUGUGUCAUUGAGGAGUUAGAUAAUAAUUGUUGUAAGGUAAUUAAAGAUGCAUGGUCCAUUGGU